GUCUAUGGCCAUGUCACCCUGACCACGUCUGAUCUCAUCUGAUCUUAGAAGCUAAGCAGGGUCAGGCCCGGUUAGUACUUGGAUGGGAGACCACCUAGGAAGACCAGGUGCUGUAGGUG
rnacentral:rRNA from 1 species